GUUCACUUCAUAUUAUAUUUCAUCAGUAAGAGUAUGUAUUUCUAUAGAAGUAUGUUCAAGAAGAUAUCAGACGCCAGACAACAAAUCUCAACAACUUGAAGUGUUAAAAGUGCUAAACUUGUGGUUCCACGUGUAUCGCCUGGACAUCCACACAAACAACAUCAUUGCAAGAUGAAGGUAAAUCAUUUGAAGUCUGCAAGCUUGACACAAGCAUGGACAAAUCCUUGAGAUAUGACCAUAACAUCCACAUUUGCUACAAAUAACAUGAAGACCUUCAUACUCGAUCUUAUGUCAAUGCCCCUGAACACAAACCUUACCUACCACGGUUUGGCUAAGAUCAAUAUCCACAUAUACUCUUGCGAAAUGACCUCUUGCAAAUCGUUGUGUGUUCUGAUCUAUCUUGAUUGGUCUACCAAUCGCAGAAACAAUAGGAAAUAGGAAACACUUGUCAUAGAACAACAAAUUCAAGCCUGUGAGUCGAAUCCAAACCAAAGUCUUUGACAUAGUCGAUGUAGUUGAAUCGAAUUCAGGAGACCAAUUAGUAAUAGCCACAUAGUGGUCAAAUCAUCCAAGGACCACAUUGAAGGACUUUAUCUCUAUCUUCAGGAAGAACGAAUUUAAGCAUAAAGUACCAUUAUCAAUGUCCAGUAAAUCAAAGUCACUGGACAUUUUCCAUGCCAAUUUCAAACGCUCCCGCAUAAUCUUGAAACCAAGUUUCAUGCCAACGAUUGAAACAAUGAGAGCACCCCUCCAUUCAGUGCUAUAUUCGGCAAUGACCUUAGCAUUGAAUGUAACCUUGGGAAUGAGUCUAUUUUUGUCAAUCAAAUCAACAUGAGCUAAGCUAUUGACAAUGAGAUCGAUAUCCUCUCUUACAUGAAUGGGAUGCUAAAACCAUGUCACGAAGGAUAAACUCUUGCAUGCAACAAUGGGUCCUGCGUGCAUGGUCACAAUUAAUUGUCUCCUUCAAAUUUGGAGGCACAUUUUGUGCAUUCAUGCAUGCUGAACUGGGAAUAGCACCCGCCUUAAUAGAGCACUUUAAAUGAGUUGAAUGAGAUUG
rnacentral:lncRNA from 1 species